GAGCCGGAGCCCGAGCCCGAUCGAGCGGCGGAGACCGUGCCCCCGCCUCGGCCCGGCGCCGCCGCGGCCAGGCCCGGCAUGGAGGAGGAGUGCCGGGUGCUCUCCAUACAGAGCCACGUCAUCCGCGGCUACGUGGGCAACCGGGCGGCCACGUUCCCGCUGCAGGUUUUGGGAUUUGAGGUUGACGCGGUGAACUCUGUCCAGUUUUCAAACCACACAGGCUAUGCCCACUGGAAGGGCCAAGUGCUGAAUUCAGAUGAGCUCCAGGAGUUGUAUGAAGGCCUGAGGCUGAACAACAUGAAUAAAUAUGACUACGUGCUCACAGGUUAUACGAGGGACAAGUCGUUCCUGGCCAUGGUGGUGGACAUUGUACAGGAGCUGAAGCAGCAGAACCCCAGGCUGGUGUACGGAGUGUGCUUGUCGGUACAGACGUGUGAGGCCCGGAUUGUGUGUGCUCAAGGCCAGGAAGAGGAAGGGAGCUGCUGCACCUGCUUGGGUGACAAACAGUGAUGAAUAGCACCUCACAGCAAUUAGGAUGACUGUCAUCAAAGACACAGAAAAUAGCGAGGAUGCAGAAAC
rnacentral:sRNA from 1 species